rnacentral:rRNA from 1 species
UGGGGAAUCUUGGACAAUGGGGGCAACCCUGAUCCAGCCAUGCCGCGUGAGUGAUGAAGGCCUUAGGGUCGUAAAGCUCUUUCGCCUGUGAAGAUAAUGACGGUAGCAGGUAAAGAAACCCCGGCUAACUCCGUGCCAGCAGCCGCGGUAAUACGGAGGGGGUUAGCGUUGUUCGGAAUUACUGGGCGUAAAGCGCACGUAGGCGGACCAGAAAGUUGGGGGUGAAAUCCCGGGGGCUCAACCCCGGAACUGCCUCCAAAACUAUUGGUCUAGAGUUCGAGAGAGGUGAGUGGAAUUCCAAGUGUAGAGGUGAAAUUCGUAGAUAUUUGGAGGAACACCAGUGGCGAAGGCGGCUCACUGGCUCGAUACUGACGCUGAGGUGCGAAAAGUGUGGGGAGCAAAACAGGAUUAGAUACCCUGGUAGUCCACACCGUAAAACGAUGAAUGCCAGUCGUCGGGUAGCAUGCUAUUCGGUGACACACCUAACGGAUU